GCGUCGGUGGUGUAACAGUUCAGCACCCGUUCCCGAAAAGAGUGAGAUCUGGGUUCAAAUCCUGCCUGACGCA